rnacentral:tRNA from 1 species
UCCCUGGUGGUCUAGUGGUUAGGACUCCAUACUUCCAGGGCUUCGGGGUCCAGGUUCAAUCUCUGGCCAGGGAA